GGCCGGGUCCUGUGCAAUCGCAGGCCGUGAACCGAGUCAGGGCCGGGAGGCAGCAGCUCUCAGCGGACCCUGUGGUGUGCCGCAGAUCGCCUGGCCGUC
rnacentral:SRP_RNA from 1 species